rnacentral:rRNA from 1 species
AUGAACGCUUGCGGCGUGCCUAAUACCUGCAAGUCGAGCGAACAGACGAGGAGCUUGCUCCUCUGACGUUAGCGGCGGACGGGUGAGUAACACGUGGAUAACCUACCUAUAAGACUGGGAGAACUUCGGGAAACCGGAGCUAAUACCGGAUAACAUGUUGAACCGCAUGGUUCAACAGUGAAAUACGGUCUUGCUGUCACUUAUAGAUGGAUCCGCGCCGCAUUAGCUAGUUGGUAAGGUAACGGCUUACCAAGGCAACGAUGCGUAGCCGACCUGAGAGGGUGAUCGGCCACACUGGAACUGAGACACGGUCCAGACUCCUACGGGAGGCAGCAGUAGGGAAUCUUCCGCAAUGGGCGAAAGCCUGACGGAGCAACGCCGCGUGAGUGAAGAAGGUCUUCGGAUCGUAAAACUCUGUUAUUAGGGAAGAACAAAUGUGUAAGUAACUAUGCACGUCUUGACGGUACCUAAUCAGAAAGCCACGGCUAACUACGUG